CAUUGACAACAAUGAUGAAGAUCAUGAUGAUAAUGACCUUCGUUUUUGGUAUUUGCUGUCGCAAUUACUUCCCCAUCAUCAUCAUCAUCAUCAUCAUCAUCAUCA
rnacentral:miRNA from 1 species